GAAAUGCGAUACUUGGUGUGAAUUGCAGAAUUCAGUGAAUCAUCGAAUCUUUGAACGCACAUUGCGCCCUCUGGUAUUCCGGGGGGCAUGCCUGUUCGAGCGUCAUUAUAACCACUCAAGCUCUCGCUUGGUAUUGGGGUUCGCGUCUUCGCGGCCUCUAAAAUCAGUGGCGGUGCCUGUCGGCUCUACGCGUAGUAAUACUCCUCGCGAUUGAGUCCGGUCGGUUUACUUGCCAACAACCCCCAAUUUUUUACAGGUUGACCUCGGAUCAGGUAGGGAUACCCGCUGAACUUAA
rnacentral:misc_RNA from 1 species